CUCAUUCUACACACAUACAUACAAAAUUCACGAUAGAAUUUUCUCCUUUCUCCAUCAACCAAGAGUCAUUUCCUCCAUUAUCACCCACAUUCCAUCAAUUUCUUUCCUUAUUUUAAUCAAUUGACACAACAAACAACACUAUUCUGCCCCCUUAAACACACACCUAUUUUUAUAAUUUUAAAUCAUCAAUAAAAAUACCCAUUUAUACCAACACCCAUUAAUUCUCACAUUCUCN
rnacentral:lncRNA from 1 species